GGGAGACAGGUGGUGCGAUGGUUGUCGUCAGCUCGUGUCGUGAGAUGUUGGGUUAAGUCCCGCAACGAGCGCAACCCUACGUUUAGUUGCUAACGCGUGAAGGCGAGCACUCUAGACGAACUGCCGUUGACAAAACGGAGGAAGGUGGGGAUGACGUCAAAUCAUCAUGCCCCUUAUGUUCUGGGCUACACACGUGCUACAAUGGCCGGUACAGACGGACGCAAAGCCGCGAGGUGGAGCAAAUCCUAAAAAGCCGGUCUCAGUUCGGAUUGCAGGCUGCAAUUCGCCUGCAUGAAGUCGGAAUCGCUAGUAAUCGCAGGUCAGCAUACUGCGGUGAAUACGUUCCCGGGCCUU
rnacentral:rRNA from 1 species